UGAUAUAGUUCAUUUACAAAUUUCGAUUCAAUGGCUGCAGUCGGCAACUACAAUUUGCUGCAAUCUUCGGAUAAACAUCCACAGUGCGUUCGUGUCAGCAAGAUAGACAAAUUAGAAGAAUAAAAACUGAAGCUGAGAAUCGAGAAGGGGCGACUUGCUACGCCGCCAUUUUACUCUAAGUAUCGGUCGAACCUGAUCGCCUCGGCUCAGAUUUCGGCCGUAUCACGGAUUUAAGCUCUAGUUAUUGCUUUGUAAUACACGUGGCUUAAGAGUGAAAACAAAUCUUAACUCGAUUUCUCGUCUGCAUAUUUCUCCCGCUCUUUAACGUUCGCUCUUCUCGUUAUAUCCUACUCGAGGAUAAAAAAUAUAUUGACGUCGUUACGGAUAUAUGCAUACGUGUGGGUAGGUAUAUUUAUAUAAUGUGUAUGUAUAUGUUUAUACGCAUACAAGUGUACUUUUAUACAUGUAUGUAUAUGUGGUUCACACAGUCCCGUAUCUCGUUAUCCUUUUCGUCCCGACGAAACGAACACCCAGAGAGAUUCUCCUAGGUGAAAUAAAUAUCGAACGACACGAGUUCAUCACAGCCCGCAAUUUAGCUUAGACCUAAUUUCGUUCGAGACGUCGUCCAACGAACUUUCGUGCUCGGUUCAGGAUAUAGACCUUAAAAUUGAUCAAGAAUUUCUCGGAGUUACGCGUUUCCUUAAUUACGUGUCCAUAUUUCUGCGUUACGUAUCUACACUCUGCACUUUGUAUUUUUAUUCAUCUUUCUCGAAAUUCUAAAUUAAGUCCAAAUCUUCGACACCAACAGUGUACACUGUAUCCAAAAGAGAUUUUCCGCAGAAUUUUUCUCGAAAUUCUCAGAUUAAUAAAUCCAAAUCUUUGACGUAAUUUAAACAGCGUACACUGUGUCCAAAAGAAAGCGCAAAAUUUUGUACUAUAAUUAAUAUAGUAUACUAUAAUUAAUAUAGUGUACUAUAUCCAAAAGAAAGCGCAAAAUUUAUCGAAAUUCUUAAAUUAACGAUUCCAAAUCUUCGACCAAUAGUUCACU